rnacentral:tRNA from 2 species
GGGGCUGUAGCUCAGCUGGUUAGAGCACCUGCUUUGCAAGCAGGGGGUCAGGAGUUCGAAUCUCCUCAGCUCCACCA